GACGAACGCUGGCGGCGUGCUUAACACAUGCAAGUCGAACGGAAAGGCCCUGCUUUUGUGGGGUGCUCGAAUGGCGAACGGGUGAGUAACACGUGAGUAACCUGCCCUUGACUUUGGGAUAACUUCAGGAAACUGGGGCUAAUACCGGAUAGGAGCUCCUGCUGCAUGGUGGGGGUUGGAAAGUUUCGGCGGUUGGGGAUGGACUCGCGGCUUAUCAGCUUGUUGGUGGGGUAGUGGCUUACCAAGGCUUUGACGGGUAGCCGGCCUGAGAGGGUGACCGGCCACAUUGGGACUGAGAUACGGCCCAGACUCCUACGGGAGGCAGCAGUGGGGAAUAUUGCACAAUGGGCGGAAGCCUGAUGCAGCAACGCCGCGUGCGGGAUGACGGCCUUCGGGUUGUAAACCGCUUUCGCCUGUGACGAAGCGUGAGUGACGGUAAUGGGUAAAGAAGCACCGGCUAACUACGUGCCAGCAGCCGCGGUGAUACGUAGGGUGCGAGCGUUGUCCGGAUUUAUUGGGCGUAAAGGGCUCGUAGGUGGUUGAUCGCGUCGGAAGUGUAAUCUUGGGGCUUAACCCUGAGCGUGCUUUCGAUACGGGUUGACUUGAGGAAGGUAGGGGAGAAUGGAAUUCCUGGUGGAGCGGUGGAAUGCGCAGAUAUCAGGAGGAACACCAGUGGCGAAGGCGGUUCUCUGGGCCUUUCCUGACGCUGAGGAGCGAAAGCGUGGGGAGCGAACAGGCUUAGAUACCCUGGUAGUCCACGCUGUAAACGGUGGGUACUAGGUGUGGGGUCCAUUCCACGGGUUCCGUGCCGUAGCUAACGCUUUAAGUACCCCGCCUGGGGAGUACGGCCGCAAGGCUAAAACUCAAAGGAAUUGACGGGGCCCCGCACAAGCGGCGGAGCAUGCGGAUUAAUUCGAUGCAACGCGUAGAACCUUACCUGGGUUUGACAUGGAUCGGGAGCGCUCAGAGAUGGGUGUGCCUCUUUUGGGGUCGGUUCACAGGUGGUGCAUGGCUGUCGUCAGCUCGUGUCGUGAGAUGUUGGGUUAAGUCCCGCAACGAGCGCAACCCUUGUUCACUGUUGCCAGCACGUUAUGGUGGGGACUCAGUGGAGACCGCCGGGGUCAACUCGGAGGAAGGUGGGGAUGACGUCAAGUCAUCAUGCCCCUUAUGUCCAGGGCUUCACGCAUGCUACAAUGGCUGGUACAGAGAGUGGCGAGCCUGUGAGGGUGAGCGAAUCUCGGAAAGCCGGUCUCAGUUCGGAUUGGGGUCUGCAACUCGACCUCAUGAAGUCGGAGUCGCUAGUAAUCGCAGAUCAGCAACGCUGCGGUGAAUACGUUCCCGGGGCU
rnacentral:rRNA from 1 species